GGCCUAUCUACAGUUGCUGUCUACAGCACAUUUGGUGGGCAAAAGAGGCAACCGAGUUGCCGUUUUGGAGCUGAUCGUCGGUCAUGUGAUGAGUGAAGGAUGGAUGAAGGAUGGGUGGAGGGUGUGAAAUGGCGUUUUCGACGGUGAAAGACUGGAGAUGAUGAUAAGACUGAGGUCUUUUCGAGACGAGAUACCUUCGAGACGAGACACUUCCGGGACGAGACACUUUCGAGACUCGAGAUAAGGCUGUGAAACAAGUCUCAGCAAGGGACUGACUCAAGAAGGAACGCUGGAAUGACGCCUGAGGUCUCGUAUUGGUGCAUCCAGAACUUGCACAGUAUGCUGAAUCCCAGGUGCGAUUCUGGGCUUCUCCAGACCGCCAGACCUGUUCAGACUGCUCCAAACUGCCCAAUCAAGUAUCUAGAGCACCCUGUCAUCUGGUGAGCUCUGACCAUCUGACUGACACUAGCAGCACGAGUUGAGUACUGCAUCCGCAAGCCAGCCCAGAUGGCGCACUUUCCCUUACAGAUGUCAAGCCCAAGGCCAACACUGCUAAACCCGAGUCCUACUACACAACUACUGCACCCCACCAACUACACUAUUGGACCUGGGGUCUUGCUAAACUCUGGGGUACAAGGAAGACCACCAGGAGUUAUAUUGACGCUGCUCCAUGGUGCUCCAAAGUGGUCUUGUUUGACUCUGUUUGACGCAUUGGAUCCACACUAAUCCGCUAAGAACAAACUACUGCGGCGCUGGUAGCGAGUGUAGACCCACACCAAAUCGCUAUAGCUCGCUAUAGCUCGCACUAGAGACAACCAAGUGGCUAUCGCUCAUUCCAAGUGGCUAUAAUGCACACUACAGAGCCUACAUGUCUCCUUGUAGCCCGUGUGUUUGUUCCAUAGCCAAGCUCGUGUCUCACGACCCUUAAACUGCUAAAACAUUUCUCGGGGAAACGAUAGUCGGGUAUUUGGGCCUGUCUUAAAGCGCGUUAGCGGCUUCUUGGGCGUCUGAAAUGUAUCUUUUCGAUCGCAACUUGGCCAACCUGACAUUUUGAACUUGUAGCAGACAGAGCUAUAAGUGAAACAGUGGCUUGGUCCAGAGUCGGUCGGUUGUGUUGCUGUAUAGGAGCACAAGGGAACCCUUGGUUGAUGUUAGAAUGGCUGUAGUUGGUCCCGGGACUCGGAGUAAACAACGUGACUUCAAGUUGGACCCACAUCUGUUGACAUACUGUUCCAAAAAUGUCCGUCAGUUGUCUGCAGUGGGGACUGUCUCAUCAAUAGAUUGAAACGCCAGUCAAGUGGGUGACAGAGUGGAGUAGUUGAAUACAACCACGGCCUGGAAUCCAGAAACAUGGUACUGUAGGUCUUCUGGGGGUUUGAGCGACUCGCGGACUCCACUAGGUAAAAACUGUCGCAUGUCUAGGUAUAAUGGACAGUUUUAACGAAAUAGUUCAAUAUUAGUAUUGUAAG
rnacentral:misc_RNA from 1 species